rnacentral:rRNA from 1 species
ACUCCUACGGGAGGCAGCAGUGGGGAAUUUUGGACAAUGGGCGAAAGCCUGAUCCAGCCAUGCCGCGUGCAGGAUGAAGGCCUUCGGGUUGUAAACUGCUUUUGUACGGAACGAAACGGCCUUUUCUAAUAAAGAGGGCUAAUGACGGUACCGUAAGAAUAAGCACCGGCUAACUACGUGCCAGCAGCCGCGGUAAUACGUAGGGUGCAAGCGUUAAUCGGAAUUACUGGGCGUAAAGCGUGCGCAGGCGGUUAUGUAAGACAGUUGUGAAAUCCCCGGGCUCAACCUGGGAACUGCAUCUGUGACUGCAUAGCUAGAGUACGGUAGAGGGUGAUGGAAUUCCGCGUGUAGCAGUGAAAUGCGUAGAUAUGCGGAGGAACACCGAUGGCGAAGGCAAUCCCCUGGACCUGUACUGACGCUCAUGCACGAAAGCGUGGGGAGCAAACAGGAUUAGAUACCCCAGUAGUCCCAUG